UACGGGGGGGGGCAAGCGUUGUUCGGAAUUACUGGGCGUAAAGGGCUCGUAGGCGGCCAACUAAGUCAGACGUGAAAUCCCUCGGCUUAACCGGGGGAACUGCAUCUGAUACUGGAUGGCUUGAGUUCGGGAGAGGGAUGCGGAAUUCCAGGUGUAGCGGGUGAAAUGCGUAGAUAUCUGGAGGAACACCGGUGGCGAAGGCGGCAUCCUGGACCGACACUA
rnacentral:rRNA from 1 species